rnacentral:lncRNA from 1 species
AAUUCGAGGUUCUCAGUCGCCAGCUCCUGCGGUGGAGCGCGCGGACGGGCGCGCCGCCUGGAGCGUUCCAUCCCGCCCCCUCCUCCACCUUCUCCCGUCCUGUCCCGGGCGACUACUCGCCCGCCCCCUGGCUUGCAUCCUUACCCCCCACGCACCCCUACCCUGCAAGCCGAGGCUGGGUGCAGGCAGUAUGAUGUCGCUGCAGCCUCCUCGCCAUCCCAUGCCGAGGGGGAGCAAGCCCUUACCCGCCGGGCGUGCAGCCCCCGGCUCCACACUCGCCCGUGUCUGCAAGCACGUGCACCGUUCGCCGCUGCCUCCAGCCACCCCGGUCCCGGGCUAACCUCGCCUGCAGCCCGGCCAAUCGUUUGCUGCCCUUUGUUGCUGCAGCCCGGGUCUCCCCGCUGUCUUCCUCAGCCUCCGCCUCGUCCUUUGCCAGCCGCCCGGGUCCGCAGCGCCGCGCUCCCCCCGCCCGGGACCCACCGCCGCCGCCUCCUUCUCCUCCUCCGCCUCCUCCUCCUCCUCGGCUCCGGGCUGCAGCGCACAGAGCCCGAGGCAGCGCCGCCCAGCCCCGCUCCCCCCGCGCCGCCAGCUAGCCCGCCCGGCCCGGCCGGGGGCGCAGCCUGGACCCCGCCCGCCCCAGUCCCCGCCCCGGGGGUACCUGCCUCCGCCCUGGGGGGCUCCGCUUGCCGCCCUCGGGGGAGGGCGGGGAUGCCGGUGUCCGCGGGAGGAUGGGGACGCCUGGGCCGUUUGGGGCGGGGAGUGUGCCCGCCUGGGCUGGGACUGAGAGGUGCGGUCCUCGCCAAAGCGCCCCCCCUCCCCGCCCCGCCGCCGUGGGCCCCAAACUUCGUCCUCUGCUGGGUCUUGUACCCUGGGCGGUCGCGGCAGUUUUGGGGUGGGGGAUGCUUCGGGAGCUGUGUCUACCCUGAUCAGGAGGAAGAGGGAGCAGUGACAUUCAGCGACUGCGGACAGGGCACGGCGGCGGCAUCCUUGGGUGGGAGUGGGGAUGUCAGACGCCGCUGGAGGGGGAAGCUGCCCCUCGAUGCCCUCUCCCGGUCUGCGAGGAGCUGGAGAGCUCUGAGCUGCGUUCCCAGUGCUUUCUUGGGCGAUGCAGCCGGGUGGCAGAGGGGCUAG